AAUUUUAACUGGGGCAUUGAAGAACGUCAUGGACAUUUUCCUUUUGUCCGAGGUCAGCCUUGGAAUGUAAUCAUAUUGUGUGAGGCCACUGGUUUUAAGAUUGCUGUCAAUGGUCAGCACUUUACAGAAUUCCGACAUCGAAUUCCAUUCCAAA